rnacentral:lncRNA from 1 species
GCUUCCUGUGCGCGGCCGAGCCCGGGCCCAGCGCCGCCUGCAGCCUCGGGAAGGGAGCGGAUAGCGGAGCCCCGAGCCGCCCGCAGAGCAAGCGCGGGGAACCAAGGAGACGCUCCUGGCACUGCAGUAACUUGUCUGCAUUUCAAGAACAACCUACCAGAGACCUUACCUGUCACCUUGGCUCUCCCACCCAAUGGAGAUGGCUCUAAUGUGGCACAAACCAGGAAGGGGAAAUCUGUGGUUUAAAUUCUUUAUGCCUCAUCCUCUGAGUGCUGAAGGCUUGCUGUAGGCUGUAUG